rnacentral:rRNA from 1 species
UCCCAGACUCCUACGGGAGGCAGCAGUGGGGAAUAUUGCGCAAUGGGCGAAAGCCUGACGCAGCGACGCCGCGUGAGGGAUGAAGGUCUUCGGGUUGUAAACUGCUUUUAUAAGCGAGAAAUAUGAUGGUAACUUAUGAAUAAGGAUCGGCUAACUACGUGCCAGCAGCCGCGGUCAUACGUAGGAUCCGAGCAUUAUCCGGAGUGACUGGGUGUAAAGAGUUGCGUAGGUGGCAUAAUAAGUAGCUAGUGAAAUCUGGUGGCUCAACCAUUCAGACUAUUAGCUAAACUGUUAAGCUCGAGACCGUUAGGGGUAACUGGAAUUUCUAGUGUAGGAGUGAAAUCCGUAGAUAUUAGAAGGAACACCAAUAGCGUAGGCAGGUUGCUGGGACGGUUCUGACACUAAGGCACGAAAGCGUAGGGAGCAAACGGGAUUAGAUACCCCAGUAGA